UACGGGGGGAGCAAGCGUUGUUCGGAUUUACUGGGCGUAAAGGGCGCGUAGGCGGUCAGCACAAGUCAGUUGUGAAAUCUCCGGGCUUAACUCGGAAAGGUCAACUGAUACUGUGCGACUAGAGUGCGGGAAGGGGCAACUGGAAUUCUCGGUGUAGCGGUGAAAUGCGUAGAUAUCGAGAGGAACACCUGCGGCGAAGGCGGGUUGCUGGGCCGACACUGACGCUGAGAAGCGAAAGCAUGGGGAGCGAACAGG
rnacentral:rRNA from 1 species